UGGGGAGUAUUGCACAAUGGGCGAAAGCCUGAUGCAGCGACGCCGCGUGCGGGAUGAAGGCCUUCGGGUUGUAAACCGCUUUUGAUUGGGAGCAAGCGAGAGUGAGUGUACCUUUCGAAUAAGCACCGGCUAACUACGUGCCAGCAGCCGCGGUAAUACGUAGGGUGCAAGCGUUAUCCGGAAUUAUUGGGCGUAAAGAGCUCGUAGGCGGUUUGUCGCGUCUGGUGUGAAAGUCCAUCGCUUAACGGUGGAUCUGCGCCGGGUACGGGCAGGCUAGAGUGCGACAGGGGAGACUGGAAUUCCCGGUGUAACGGUGGAAUGUGUAGAUAUCGGGAAGAACACCAAUGGCGAAGGCAGGUCUCUGGGUCGUCACUGACGCUGAGGAGCGAAAGCGUGGGGAGCGAACAGGAUUAGAUACCCUGGUAGUCCACGCCGUAAACGGUGGAUGCUGGAUGUGGGGCCCCAUUCCACGGG
rnacentral:rRNA from 1 species